UGGGCAACCUGCCCUCAGCUCUGGGAUAACUCCAAGAAAUUGGGGCUAAUACCGGAUAUGACUGCUGACCGCAUGGUCUGGUGGUGGAAAGAUUUAUCGGCUGAGGAUGGGCCCGCGGCCUAUCAGCUUGUUGGUGGGGUAGUGGCCCACCAAGGCGACGACGGGUAGCCGGCCUGAGAGGGUGACCGGCCACACUGGGACUGAGACACGGCCCAGACCUCCGUACGGGAG
rnacentral:rRNA from 1 species